GUACAGAGGGGCUUUCUGUGAAGCCAAGAUUAAGACCGCCAAGAGGCUCGUCAAGGCCAAGGUGACCUUUAAAUCGGACCUGUCCACAGCCGAGGUCCACGACGAAAACAUCAAAGGACCCUUAAAGGUGGGCGUUGUUGUGGAGGUGAAGAAUCAGGACGGAGUUUACCAACAAGCCACCAUCAACAAGCUGACCGAUGCUAGUAUUUAUA